rnacentral:rRNA from 1 species
CAGUCGACGGUGAACUUGGGAGCUUGCUCUCGGGGGAUCAGUGGCGAACGGGUGAGUAACACGUGAGUAACCUGCCCUUGACUCUGGGAUAAGCACUGGAAACGGUGUCUAAUACCGGAUACGAGCUUCAGCCGCAUGGCUAGGAGCUGGAAAGAACUUUGGUCAAGGAUGGACUCGCGGCCUAUCAGCUAGUUGGUGAGGUAAUGGCUCACCAAGGCGACGACGGGUAGCCGGCCUGAGAGGGUGACCGGCCACACUGGGACUGAGACACGGCCCAGACUCCUACGGGAGGCAGCAGUGGGGAAUAUUGCACAAUGGGCGCAAGCCUGAUGCAGCAACGCCGCGUGAGGGACGAAGGCCUUCGGGUUGUAAACCUCUUUUAGUAGGGAAGAAGGGAGCUUGCUCUUGACGGUACCUGCAGAAAAAGCACCGGCUAACUACGUGCCAGCAGCCGCGGUAAUACGUAGGGUGCAAGCGUUAUCCGGAAUUAUUGGGCGUAAAGAGCUCGUAGGCGGUUUGUCGCGUCUGCUGUGAAAACUGGAGGCUCAACCUCCAGCCUGCAGUGGGUACGGGCAGACUAGAGUGCGGUAGGGGAGAUUGGAAUUCCUGGUGUAGCGGUGGAAUGCGCAGAUAUCAGGAGGAACACCAAUGGCGAAGGCAGAUCUCUGGGCCGUAACUGACGCU